GACACUGUGUUGGAUGUUUAACCCACGAGCCACAGCAGCAACUCCAGUAACCGACGUUAAAGGGGAAAGAGAGUCCACAGUCUCAGGUUGGCCCCACCCCUCGUGACAUGGUCAUCUGCCCUCUGCUGAGACCAGUGGCCAGAGACUGAUUUACAGCCUGGUGGGCCCUCGACCUCAGUACGAAGGAGACUGGGUUCAGUGCGGUGGCCCGGGGAGCCUGCCGCAGCCCCUGCCCCGCCACCCCCGGCUCUGCGCUGGACCGGGUCCCAGCCUCACACAGGAGGAGGGAGCAGCACUGCUCUGAGGCCACUGCAAGAAAGCGGCUCUGGAAAGUAGGUUGGCACAGAUGCCUCCCUUCGGGGCGAGGGACAGGGAGGGGGGCUUGCUGUGUUCAGACUCUGGAUGUGAACUCGGGGACCGUGAGAGGCCCGCCGGAGCGAGGAAAGGGGGACAUGCCACUUUUGUUCAGCCUGGGCCACCAGCCCGGCGGCCAGGGGAGGUCCAGCGUCCCGAUGGGGAGGACACUCAGACUGUCCCCCUCGGCAGAGCUGAUGCAGGAGAAGCAACUGCUGUGUCCCCGAGGCCUGGCAGCGGGAGAAGCAAAGUGUGGGAGCUGGCGGGAGGCCGAGUCUCAGCCUGACCCAUCUCUGCUGCGAGAGCGGCCAGCACAGCUGCAUUUCCCAGCUGGACACAGGCGCUCAGGCUGGAGCUCUCAGGUCAGGGCAGGGCCAGGGUGGUGGGACCGCGGGCGAGGCUGUCCCCCUGUGCCAGGCCUCAGGCUAGGACGGCUGCGCUUGCUGUCUGACCUAACACAGGGAUCCACUUCUCAGAUGAGAACACUGAGGCCAUGUGAUCUGCCCAGGGCCAGGGGCCCACACCAGAUCUUGAGGCCAGUCUGCUCUCCCUGCUUCAGGAGGACUGGGCGGGCAGCUCCGCCAGGCAGGACCGCAACGUGGAAAGUGGGGGGCUGGGGCUCAAACAGGCCCCAGAGGUAGAUGGGUCCAUGCAGGUGACAGUAUGGCCAUUGAUGGUGGCAGGACUUAGCCAGAGCUCUGCUGGUCCCCUGAUUUGGACUAAAAGCAAACUCUUCAGCAUUCAAAGGCCUUGCUCCUCUGGGAUCUCAGUGGUUGAGAACAUCCGGGCGGGAUAGGGGACCACGCGCAGCUCCCCCGUGGCUUUUUGGAAACUUUACAGAGAGUGGAAUCCGCCUGACCCCAAAGCUGCGUUGUCAGGCUCCGAGCCCUGCCGAGGUCUGAGCAGCCGCGUCUAGGGAGGCAGGGACCUGGCCGAGGACCUGCCUGGGGAGCGGCACCACCCGGGGCGGGGCUGCGCUCCUGUGAGUCGCUGGUGGCUGGGACACUGGCCCUCUCUGCGCUCUGGAUGGGCAGUGGCUGUUGUGGAGCACAGGCUCUGCAGGGCUUUAGGGCAGAGGUGGGGGUGUCAGAAGUGGCAUCCGCGUGACCUAAGAGCAGGCCUGCAUCUCAGGAUGGGAGGUUCCGCGUGGACAGGAGGAGGCAGAGUAAGCGCUGCGGCCCCCCGCGGGGGAGGUGCGGUAUUGGGCCUCUGAUCUUGGGGUCCCUGUAAGUGACCAGGGUUCCGCCCGCGGGAGGGCGGGGCGAGGAGCGGCGCCCCUACCAUCACCGAGUUGGAAGCCUGUGCUUCCACAGGGCCUCUGCCCCGCGGCAGCGUCUCCUGUUCUCCCGGGGCGUCCCGGCGCCCGCGCGUAGCACCGAGGCUGUUUGUACAUUACGGCCUUCGGCGGAAUUACAUCACCCCUGGGGCCCCUGAAGGGGACAGUGGCUUCUGAGCCCCGGGCCGGUGGUCCUGGGCGGCCUCCGCCCCGGAAGAGACGCCCCGUGGACAGAGAAGCUGGGGUCCCGCUCCCCUCCUCCGUCCAGGUGCAGUGGGACCCCGCGGCGCGGUCGGCCUUCCUCUGCCAAAGCCGGUGUCGCCAGCGGCUAAGGGGCCUUCGGCGGGCGCCGCCCUGCGCUUCGCCGGGGAAGCACCGCCCCCCAGCGGCCAGAGGGUGGCGCGGCGUCCCUCCCGCAGCGGGUCCUCGCGCCUCGGUUCCUUCCAUCCAGCCUGGGCUCCUUCAGCCUGGGAGUGAAUCGGGACUCGGUCUCCGAGGGCGACCAGCAGACAUCUGUCAAAGCGAAGACUGCACAUACUUGUGGUGGAGCAAGAACUUAUCCAGACUGGAUUUUCCAAAAGCGCAAGGCUGGUCUUUGUGGGCCAAGUGCUCCUCCAGGGCUUUGCCUCCGCUGGCAGGAGUGGACUCCUCUCCCCUGGGGGCCGCCUCGCCACGGGCCUGACUUCCCAGGUGAAGACGUCACCAACGCAGGGAAGCCCCGGGUCCCUCUCAGAAUGGCCACCUCUGGGGCUCAGCCACCCAGUUGUCAGGAAGCCCAGGCGCCCGAGAGGCCACGUGCAAAGUCCAGUCCCAGCCAGCAGCCCCUGCCAGCCCUGUGAGCAGGCCAGGCCUCUAAAGAGGCCCCGAGUUCGUGCCAUGAACGGCCACCACCGAGGCCCCUGGAGCAGGGUCUAUGCUCCCCACCUGCCCAGACUGCACAGUUGUGAGCCAAGAUGAAUGCUGCCAUUGUUGUCGGUUACUCAGAUUUGGGGUGAUCUGAUACCCACCCGGAGAGGCUGAGACAGAUUCCGGUAACGGCAACAGGCUGGUCAGAACCCGAGUGGCCAGGUCCCUGGGGACGACGGUCAGGUGCCUGCAGCCUGGAUGCCGCCCGUCCCUUCCCUCCUUCGGGACCGAGGGCCUUCGCAGCCUUUGUCCCGGCUCAGUCGGCUCAGCUGCCCGAGGCAAGUACCAGAGUGUCGGGGCUUAAACAGCAGAGACGUGUGUUCUCACGGCUCCAAAGGCCUCAAGUCCACGAUCAGGGCGCCCGCGUGACCAGAUUUCCGUGGGGCACCUCUUCCUGGCUUGCGGCCGCCACCUUCCCCGUGUCCUCGGCUGCAGGGCGGGGAGGACUCUGGGGUGUCGUCUCAUGAGCGCGCUGGUCCCAUCACAAGGGGCUGAAGGCGGUCGGUUCUGCGUCCGGACCUGGGUCUGAGCGGGCAGGUCCUUGGAGGCAGGGGGGCCGCUGGUCUGCUCUCUAACCGCUGCCGGAUGGGCUGGAAGGACACUUCGGGAGACCCCGGGGAGGGGGCAGACUGUGUGGACGGAGCUGUUAAGGUGGCUGUCACCUCUCUCACCUGGCAGCUCCCCCCCGCCAGCCUCCUCUGCUUCACGGAGCUGGGAGAGCCGUGGACUCGGAAACACAGUCACAGAAAGGGGUUGAGAGCUGUCUGGCUCCCGUGAAACAGAAAUCGAGGCCAGGGGGAGCUGGACCAGCCACCGGGGCCAGGCGGAGCUUCAUCAGGCCCUCCUGGUUUUGUCCUUCACCUUGUUGAAGACUCGGGACUACGUGUCCCCGGAAAGAGAAUUAAGGACACAUGUACCACCAGCCAGUCUGAUACUGCAGGUUUCACACCAGGAGUGAAAGCUGUCCGGGUGCAGAAGCACCGCUGUCUUCAUGUCCCUGGAUUCGUCACAAUUCCCCAGAGAAACAGAAGCCGGGCGGCCAUGGCUUCCCGGUGGAGCCUGGACAUCAGCGUGGAGCUUCUAGGAAGAGCCUGACGUUCUGAUAACAGACUGGAGUUGCUUAAGCCUGAAGAGACCUUGGCUGUCUCCCUUCUCAUCCUGUGACAGUGUCCUGUGAAGACAAAAGUUACGGUGGCCACUGUCCAUGAAUCAGUGACUUUGCAGGCGGGAUGAAGUAUCCGACUCUUCCCAGGGCUGCGCCUGGAGCAUGUGGACACGAGGAC